CCCUAAUAUUCCAUUAAUUUAACCUAAUUCACAUUAACUAUUGAGUCAAUCUAUUAAAAUAGAUAUGUUUAUGUUAGAAUGAGUAAUAUGAAAUACUUCUCUAAGUGUAAGUGUAAAUCAAAACGAAUACCUCAUUGAUAUUUAACGAACCAUAUUGAAGGUACAAUCCUUUUAAACAAGAAAUUUUGAUUCAAAAAAUCGUUAACCCAACACAGGAACACUAAAGAAGAUUAAAAAUUAAAGAAGGAACUCGGCAAACACGAACUUCGCCUGUUUACCAAAAACAUCGCCUCUUGCUUAUCCUAUAUAAGAGGUCCUGCCUGCCCAGNGACAUCUGUUUAACGGCCGCGGUAUU
rnacentral:rRNA from 1 species